UUCAAGAUGAGAUUUGAGUGGGGACACAGC
rnacentral:piRNA from 1 species